CCUACGGGAGGCAGCAGUGGGGAAUAUUGGAUAAUGGGCGAAAGCCUGAUCCAGCCAUGCCGCGUGUGUGAAGAAGGUCUUCGGAUUGUAAAGCACUUUAAGUUGGGAGGAAGGGUUGUAGAUUAAUACUCUGCAAUUUUGACGUUACCGACAGAAUAAGCACCGGCUAACUCUGUGCCAGCAGCCGCGGUAAUACAGAGGGUGCAAGCGUUAAUCGGAAUUACUGGGCGUAAAGCGCGCGUAGGUGGUUUGUUAAGUUGGAUGUGAAAUCCCCGGGCUCAACCUGGGAACUGCAUUCAAAACUGACUGACUAGAGUAUGGUAGAGGGUGGUGGAAUUUCCUGUGUAGCGGUGAAAUGCGUAGAUAUAGGAAGGAACACCAGUGGCGAAGGCGACCACCUGGACUAAUACUGACACUGAGGUGCGAAAGCGUGGGGAGCAAACAGGAUUAGAUACCCUGGUAGUCCCACGACCGUAAACGAUGUCACUAGCGUCGGAAGACCUGUAGUCUUUUAGUUGGUCGCGAGCUAACGACAUUAAAGUUAGUACCGCCGUCGGGGAGGGUACGGGUCCGGCCGAAGGUUAAAACGUUAACGUAAAGUUAAGUUAAGUUAGUUACGGCGUUGGAGGACGUUGCCGAGGACGACGACGAGGGAGGAGGG
rnacentral:rRNA from 1 species